rnacentral:rRNA from 1 species
CGGCGAGUGAAGCGGCAAGAGCUCAAAUUUGAAAUCUGGCCCUCUCAGGGUCCGAGUUGUAAUUUGUAGAGGGCGCUUUGGCGUCGGCUACGGCCUAAGUUCCUUGGAACAGGACGUCACAGAGGGUGAGAACCCCGUACGUGGCCGCUGGCCUUCGCCGUGUAAAGCCCCUUCGACGAGUCGAGUUGUUUGGGAAUGCAGCUCUAAAUGGGAGGUAAAUUUCUUCUAAAGCUAAAUACUGGCCAGAGACCGAUAGCGCACAAGUAGAGUGAUCGAAAGAUGAAAAGCACUUUGGAAAGAGAGUCAAAAAGCACGUGAAAUUGUUGAAAGGGAAGCGCUUGCAGCCAGACUUGCCUGUAGUUGCUCACCCGAGCCACCGGCUCGGUGCACUCUUCUGCGGGCAGGCCAGCAUCAGUCCGGGCGGUCGGAUAAAGGCCUCGGGAAUGUAGCUCCCCUCGGGGAGUGUUAUAGCCCGGGGUGCCAUGCGACCAGCCUGGACUGAGGUCCGCGCAUCUGCUAGGAUGCUGGCGUAAUGGCUGUAAGCGGCCCGUCUUGAAACACGGACCAAGGAGUCUAACAUCUAUGCGAGUGUUUGGGUGUCAAGCCCGGGCGCGCAAUGAAAGUGAACGGAGGUGGGAACCCCUCGGGGCGCACCAUCGACCGAUCCUGAUGUCUUCGGAUGGAUUUGAGUAAGAGCAUAGCUGUUGGGACCCGAAAGAUGGUGAACUAUGCCUGAAUAGGGUGAAGCCAGAGGAAACUCUGGUGGAGGCUCGCAGCGGUUCUGACGUGCAAAUCGAUCGUCAAAUUUGGGCAUAGGGGCGAAAGA